CCUACGGGAGGCUGCAGUAGGGAAUCUUCGGCAAUGGACGGAAGUCUGACCGAGCAACGCCGCGUGAGUGAAGAAGGUUUUCGGAUCGUAAAGCUCUGUUGUAAGAGAAGAACGAGUGUGAGAGUGGAAAGUUCACACUGUGACGGUAUCUUACCAGAAAGGGACGGCUAACUACGUGCCAGCAGCCGCGGUAAUACGUAGGUCCCGAGCGUUGUCCGGAUUUAUUGGGCGUAAAGCGAGCGCAGGCGGUUAGAUAAGUCUGAAGUUAAAGGCUGUGGCUUAACCAUAGUACGCUUUGGAAACUGUUUAACUUGAGUGCAGAAGGGGAGAGUGGAAUUCCAUGUGUAGCGGUGAAAUGCGUAGAUAUAUGGAGGAACACCGGUGGCGAAAGCGGCUCUCUGGUCUGUAACUGACGCUGAGGCUCGAAAGCGUGGGGAGCGAACAGGAUUAGAUACCCGAGUAGUC
rnacentral:rRNA from 1 species